rnacentral:rRNA from 1 species
UACAGAGGGGGCUAGCGUUGUCCGGAAUCAUUGGGCGUAAAGCGCGCGUAGGCGGCCCGGUAAGUCCGCUCUGAAAGUCCAGGGCUCAACCCUGGAAAGCGGGUGGAUACUGCCGGGCUAGAGUCCGGAAGAGGCGAGUGGAGUUCCUGGUGUAGCGGUGGAAUGCGCAGAUAUCGGGAGGAACACCAGUAGCGAAGGCGGCUCACUGGCUCGAUACUGACGCUGAGGUGCGAAAGCGUGGGGAGCAAACGGG